AAUCACGGCUACCACCAAGGAAAAGAAGGCACAUCCUUGGCGAUUCUGUCACGUGGUAUCUCUUUCUUCUUUCUUUCUUUUUUUUUUUUGUUGUUGUUGUUCUUGUAGGUUGUUUGGUCUGUUUGGUUUGUUUUUGAGAAGGAGUUUUGCUCUUGUCGCCCAGGCUGGAGUGCAAUGGUGCGAUCUCGGCUCACUGCAACCUCCUUCUCCCGGGUUCUAGUGAUUCUCCUGCCUCAAUCUCCUGAGUAGCUGGGAUUACAGGUGCCUGCCACCACGCCCAGCUAAUUUUUUGUUUGUUUUGAGACGGAGUCUGGGUCUGUCGCCCAAGCUGGAGUGCAGUGGCGCCAUCUCGGCUCACUGCAAGCUCCGCCUCCUGGGUUCACCCCAUUCUCCUGCCUCAGCCUCCUGAGUAGCUGGGACUACAGGCGCCCGACACCACGCCCGGCUAAUUUUUUGUAGUUUUAGUAAAGACGGGGUUUCACUAUGUUAGCCAGGAUGGUCUCGAUCUCCUGACCUUGUGAUCCGCCCGCCUCGGCCUCCCAAAGUGCUAGGAUUAUAGGCAUGAGCCACCGCGCCCGGCAGAUGCCUGGCUAAUUUUUGUAUUUUUAGUGGAGAUGGGGUUUCAUCAUGUUGGCCAGGCUGGUCUUGAGCUCCUGACCUCAGGUGAUCCAUCUGCCUCGGCCUCUCAAAGUGCUGGGAUUACAGGCAUGAGGCCCUGCACCCGGCCACUUACAGCUGAAUCCUAAACUUGUAUUGUCUGAAUCUAAAAUUGGGCCCAUGUGCAGGAAUGGUGACAUGAAGGGAGGCGAGGUCUAAGCCCUGUUGAGUCCUUGUGCAAAGCGGAACCAUAUUAAGAACCUAAAACUUAAUAUGUUAAUAUGAGUGCAGUGGCUCACGCCUGUAAUCCCAGCACUUUGGAAGGCCAAGGCAGGCGGAUCACGAGGUCACGAGUUCAAGACUAGCUUGGCCAACAUUGGGAAACCCCGUCUCUACUAAAAAUACAAAAAUUAGGUUCAUGCCUGUAAUCCCAGCUACUAAGGAGGCUGAGGCAAGAGAAUCGUUUUAACCUGGGAAGCAGAGGCUGCAGUGAGCCGAGAGCACAUGAUUGCACUCCAGCCUGGGUGAUAGUGAGAGACUGCGACUCAAAAAAACAAAAAGGUCGGGCGUGGUGGCUCACACCUGUAAUCCCAGCACUUUGGGAGGCUGAGGCAGGCAGAUCA
rnacentral:lncRNA from 10 species